UACGGGAGGCAGCAGUGGGGAAUUUUGGACAAUGGGGGAAACCCUGAUCCAGCAAUGCCGCGUGUGUGAAGAAGGCCUUCGGGUUGUAAAGCACUUUUAUCCGGAAAGAAAACUUCGGGGCUAAUACCUCUGGAGGAUGACCGUA
rnacentral:rRNA from 1 species